AGAAGAUUCAUUCGUCUCCAUAUCGUGAUCCACAAGGGAAUUAUUUAACUGAAUGGAUAAUAUUACACAAGUAAUAUAAGAGAGAGACAGAGAGAGAGAGGUUCAGAUACUUUCAUUUAACUACGUAAAUGUGGCAGAGUAAUUUAAAGGAGAGGAAGUAGUUUUCUGCAUCCAAUUUGUUAAUCAACAGCAACAGUGAGAUGGCCCUGUUCCAUGAGUGAUGCAACGCAAUCAUCGAACAUUUUCUGGAUGGGCUUGAACUUGAAGCCUAAGCUCUUCAACUUUGAUGUAUUGAAAUCGUAGUAUGGCCUGUUUAGUUGCUCAAACCUUUCUGGGAUGGGUAGAGAUGGAUAACGAGCUGAUAAAAAUGAUACUAAUUCAUGAACCUCCAGAACUGUGGAGUUGCAGAGAUAUCUUCCAUGAGCACUUUCUUGCUCGUAAACAAGGAUGUGGCAAAGGGCAACAUCAUCUAUAUGAACAUACCCCAUUCUUCCAUGCCACUGAAAUUUCCCUGUUUCACCUUUAAGCAAGCCAAGGACAUCAGAUGCAGUAGAACAUAAUUCAGGUGGCAAACUAGGACCAAUCACGAACGAGGGAAGAAUGGUUAUUAAUUUGAUUCCAUUUUCGUUGCAGAAUUCCCAUGCUGCUUUCUCAGCUAGUGUUUUUGAUAAAGCAUACCAAAGCUGGAGUCUCUCGCAGAGUUCCACAGAGCUCCAAGAUGACUCGUCGAGAGGUACGAGGGGGUCAAAAUCAUCUCUUGCUCUAACAGUUGAUGAGGAUGAGGUGAGAACCACACGCUUCAGAAAUGGAUUCUUUUCACAGGAACGCAGCACAUUCAAAGUGCCCUCAACAGCUGGUUCCAAGAUUUCCGCCUUUGGAUCAGAUGAAGGUCCGAGUACAGGGGAAGCAGUGUGGAAUACGCCUUGGCAUCCAAAGAUUGCAUCAUCAAAGCUGCCCAUUUCCAUCAAAUUAGCCUUUACUAACUGGAGCCUCUCCUUUGCUCCUUCUAGUUUCCGCAGGUGAGCUAAUUUCUUCUCAUUUCCUGGAUCUCUUACUGUUCCAAUCACUUGAUACCCUGAUAAGAGCAGUCGUUUAAUAAGCCAACUAGCUAGAAAGCCUGAAGCCCCUGUGACACAAACUUUGCCUUUUAUUUGUUCCAUGUUUCAUGCUUAGUUAAAAUCUGAUUGCAUAUCCAGUUUGUAGAUCACAGAUAAAUAACCUUGGCUUGGAAAGUAGUUGGGAAUUAGGAGACUAUGGAUUGGGAAGGUAUGUCAUAACAGGCUACUGUUAUUUUCUUAUGUUUUAUGGCCAUAAGUAGGUAAAGGUGCAAAAAG
rnacentral:misc_RNA from 1 species